rnacentral:rRNA from 1 species
UACGUAGGGUGCAAGCGUUUGUCCGGAAUUAUUGGGCGUAAAGAGCUUGUAGGCGGUUUGUCGCGUCUGCUGUGAAAUUUCGGGGCUCAACCCCGAACUUGCAGUGGGUACGGGCAGACUAGAGUGUGGUAGGGGAGACUGGAAUUCCUGGUGUAGCGGUGAAAUGCGCAGAUAUCAGGAGGAACACCGAUGGCGAAGGCAGGUCUCUGGGCCACUACUGACGCUGAGGCGCGAAAGCUAGGGGAGCAAACAGG